UACGUAGGCAGCAAGCGUUGUUCGGAAUUACUGGGCGUAAAGGGCCAGUAGGCGGCCAACUAAGUCCGACGUGAAAUCCCAAGGCUUAACCUUGGAACUGCGUCGGAUACUGGAUGGCUUGAAUUCGGGAGAGGGAUGCAGAAUUCCAGGUGUAGCGGUGAAAUGCGUAGAUAUCUGGAGGAAUACCGGUGGCGAAGGCGGCAUCCUGGACCGACAUUGACGCUGAACGGCGAAAGCUAGGGGAGCAAACGGG
rnacentral:rRNA from 1 species